UUCAACUGCUCUGAGUGCCUUGGGUCCAACUGUUCUGAGUGCAGCGGGUCCUCUAGGAUGGGUCUGGAUACGGUGUCUUCACAGAAGCAGACCAACUAGAAGUCUGCCCCCAGAAGAAAGGACCAGGCAGAAGGGGUAGAAGGCACUGAGUGGAGUGGUAUUCAGGAAGGCAGGGGUUUUGGUGGGCAAUGGGACCAGAGUCCACUAGGCUCCCAGCAGCAGUUCUGGGACUUGUGGAGGGAUGGGGGAUUCUUACCAACCACUCUGAGCGAAGUGCUGUAGAAUGGAUCUAGAUAUGGAGUCUUCACAGGAGCAGACCACAUAGGGGUCUGCCCCAACAGCAAGGACCAGGCAGAAAGGAGCAUCAUAGGAAAGAGGUCACUGUGAGCAUGUCCGUGAAGCAUGUUCAUGAAGCGGCAUUUGGGAUCCCAGCCCUUCCUGUCCCACUCUUUGUUUCCUGGCUUCCAGAAGCACAGAGCACAAAGGACACAAGCGUGCUGGCUGCUGUUCCAAGUGAGUUUAUCAGUGGGCUGCACACCCAGCAUGUGGCCUCUUUGUCAUUAUUAAGAAAAGUGUGAAGCUAUGCAUUCCGUCAAAAGCAACCAGCCAAGAGCCAGAUGCAAAAGAAAAGUGGCCCUCCCCCACCCAGCAGUCAUCAUCUGCUAAUAGCAUCUCAGCUAGGAGAAGGGCCUCUACCCCUCCUCUCUCUAUGCUGGAAUUUCACCCAGGUCAUAUGCAGGUAACCACAGCUGCUGUGAACCAUGCUUGGAAUUUCCAACAGAUAAUGUUUCUAAGCCCCUCUUCCCACUCUUCAGCUUUUAUAUUCUUCCUCUUCCAGGAUCUUCUCUGAGCACUGGGAGUGGGGAGAUUGCCAUUUUGCUAA